rnacentral:rRNA from 1 species
AGAGCGAACGCUGGCGGCAGGCCUAAAACAUGCAAGUCGAACGCCGUAGCAAUACGGAGUGGCAGACGGGUGAGUAACACGUGGGAACGUGCCCUUUGGUUCGGAACAACACAGGGAAACUUGUGCUAAUACCGGAUAAGCCCUUACGGGGAAAGAUUUAUCGCCAGAGGAUCGGCCCGCGUCUGAUUAGCUAGUUGGUGAGGUAACGGCUCACCAAGGCUACGAUCAGUAGCUGGUCUGAGAGGAUGAUCAGCCACACUGGGACUGAGACACGGCCCAGACUCUUACGGGAGGCAGCAGCAGGGAAUCUUGCACAAUGGGCGAAAGCCUGAUCCAGCCAUGCCGCGUGAGUGAAGAAGGCCUUAGGGUUGUAAAGCUCUUUUGGCGGGACGAUAAUGACGGUACCGCAGAAUAAGCCCGGCUAACUUCGUGCCAGCAGCCGC